UGGGGAAUAUUGGACAAUGGGGGGAACCCUGAUCCAGCCCUGCCGCGUGUGUGAAGAAGGCCUUAUGGUUGUAAAGCACUUUAAGCGAGGAGGAGGGUACUGGUAUUAAUACUACCAGCUACUGGACGUUACUCGCAGAAUAAGCACCGGCUAACUCUGUGCCAGCAGCCGCGGUAAUACAGAGGGUGCGAGCGUUAAUCGGAUUUACUGGGCGUAAAGCGUGCGUAGGCGGCUAAUUGAGUCGGAUGUGAAAUCCCCGAGCUUAACUUGGGAAUUGCAUUCGAUACUGGUUAGCUAGAGUGUGGGAGAGGAUGGUAGAAUUCCCGGUGUAGCGGUGAAAUGCGUAGAGAUCUGGAGGAAUACCGAUGGCGAAGGCAGCCAUCUGGCCUAACACUGACGCUGAGGUACGAAAGCAUGGGGAGCAAACAGG
rnacentral:rRNA from 1 species